GACAGCGGCGUGGCGGCGGCGGUGGCGGUAGCUACGGCAGGCCGUAGGGCGGUCAGAAGGUUUCCGGUUCCGGUGUAACGUUCGAGCUCCGUCUCAGGGGCUGAAGUUUUUGAGGUAUAGUAUUGAGUCCUGUUUGAGCUAUUGUUCUCUUUUUCCUGAAAAAUGGCACUGUCAAAGAGGGAGCUGGAUGAGCUGAAACCAUGGAUAGAGAAGACAGUGAAGAGGGUCCUGGGUUUCUCAGAGCCUACAGUGGUCACAGCAGCAUUGAACUGUGUGGGGAAGGGCAUGGACAAGAAGAAGGCAGCCGAUCAUCUGAAACCUUUUCUUGAUGAUUCUACUCUCCGAUUUGUGGACAAACUGUUUGAGGCUGUGGAGGAAGGCCGAAGCUCUAGGCAUUCCAAGUCUAGCAGUGACAGGAGCAGAAAACGAGAGCUAAAGGAGUUCCAGGAAGCGCUCGCCCCUGGCCGAGGAUAUGUCCUUGCAAAACACGAGCCCUCCUAGUGAAGAGGGGAUGUCACCCAAAGCCUACCACCGGAGGUGUUUGGUGAUGACUCUGAGAUCUCUAAAGAAUCAUCAGGAGUAAAGAAGCGACGAAUACCCCGUUUUGAGGAGGUGGAAGAAGAGCCAGAGGUGAUCCCUGGGCCUCCAUCAGAGAGCCCUGGCAUGCUGACUAAGCUCCAGAUCAAACAGAUGAUGGAGGCAGCAACACGACAAAUCGAGGAGAGGAAAAAACAGCUGAGCUUCAUUAGCCCCCCUACACCUCAGCCAAAGACUCCUUCUUCCUCCCAACCAGAGCGACUUCCAAUUGGCAACACUAUUCAGCCCUCCCAGGCUGCCACUUUCAUGAACGAUGCCAUUGAGAAGGCAAGGAAAGCAGCUGAACUACAAGCUCGAAUCCAAGCCCAGCUGGCACUGAAGCCAGGACUCAUCGGCAAUGCCAACAUGGUGGGCCUGGCUAAUCUCCAUGCCAUGGGCAUUGCUCCCCCGAAGGUGGAGUUAAAAGACCAAACAAAACCUACACCACUGAUCCUGGAUGAGCAAGGGCGCACUGUAGAUGCAACAGGCAAGGAGAUUGAGCUGAC
rnacentral:sRNA from 1 species